GAUUCCACCAGGCUUUGGCAAACCAUUUUUUCCUCAUGGGCCUUUUCCAGGUGGCCCUGGUCCUCGAUUUAGGCCUGGCGGUCCACCUUUCGGACCCAUUGGCCCAAUAGGUCCCAUUGUUCCAAUUGGGCCUAUAGUUUUUCCUAUUAGGCCACCUAUUCCUCCUCCAAUUGUAGGACCAAUCAUCAAGCCUAUAGUUAUUAAAGAAAUUCCAUUUGUAAACCAGCAUAUAACAGACAUUGCUCAACCAUUCCGUAAG
rnacentral:sRNA from 1 species